CGCUACGAUUUCUUUCUCUUAUCUAAUAUUGCUCUUGUGCUUAACUUUUUUUUAUCUGUUAUCCCUCUGUAGCCUGUACGAGAUCAUUUCAAAAAUGAUGCUAAUGCCCAGGAUCUGCUGAAACGUGUUAAGGGUUACAGAGUUACUAGGUGAUGCAGAGGAUGUUCACUUGCCCUGUCUUACCAAGGAUUACUUAAAAUUGUUUACAAAUAUAUUUUUCUUCAGUUAUAAAAUUUCGUAUAAUUAGAUUAUUGUUCGAUUAUUUAUACAUUAAAAUGAUAAUUGCUUGUAGAUGAACGGAAUUUUUACAUUGA